rnacentral:rRNA from 1 species
UACGUAGGGUGCGAGCGUUGCCCGGAUUUAUUGGGCGUAAAGGGCGCGUAGGCGGCUCUGCACGUCCGUUGUGAAAUCGCCCGGCUCAACUGGGCGGGGUCAGCGGAUACGGCGGAGCUUGAGCAAGCUAGGGGGCAAUGGAAUUCCCGGUGUAGUGGUGGAAUGCGUAGAGAUCCGGAGGAACACCAGCGGCGAAGGCGGCAUCCUGGACUGGUCCUGACACUCAGGAGCGAAAGCGUGGGGAGCGAGUCCGG